GAUGAACGCUGGCGGCGUGCCUAAUACAUGCAAGUCGAGCGAACGGACGAGAAGCUCGCUUCUCUGAUGUUAGCGGCGGACGGGUGGGUAACACGUGGAUAACCUACCUAUAAGACUGGGAUAACUUCGGGAAACCGGAGCUAAUACCGGAUAAUAUUUUGAACCGCAUGGUUCAAAAGUGAAAGACGGUCUUGCUGUCACUUAUAGAUGGAUCCGCGCUGCAUUAGCUAGUUGGUAAGGUAACGGCUUACCAAGGCAACGAUGCAUAGCCGACCUGAGAGGGUGAUCGGCCACACUGGAACUGAGACACGGUCCAGACUCCUACGGGAGGCAGCAGUAGGGAAUCUUCCGCAAUGGGCGAAAGCCUGACGGAGCAACGCCGCGUGAGUGAUGAAGGUCUUCGGAUCGUAAAACUCUGUUAUUAGGGAAGAACAUAUGUGUAAGUAACUGUGCACGUCUUGACGGUACCUAAUCAGAAAGCCACGGCUAACUACGUG
rnacentral:rRNA from 1 species